rnacentral:rRNA from 1 species
GGAAUACAUUGCCGGAGAUGGAUUCUGAGACACGAAUCCAGACCCUACGGGGUGCAGCAGGCGCGAAAACUUGGCAAUGCGAGAAAUCGUGACCAGGGAACUCCAAGUGGCAGGGGUAAGACCCUGUCUUUUUCCGACUCUAAAUAGGUCGGCGAAUAAGGGGUGGGUAAGGACGGUGCCAGCCGCCGCGGUAAUACCGGCGCCUCAAGUGGUAGUCGCUCUUAUUGGGCCUAAAACGUCCGUAGCCGGUCUGGUACAUUCGUGGGUAAAUCAACUCGCUCAACGAGUUGAAUUCUGCGAGGACGGCCAGACUUGGGACCGGGACAGGUGUGGNNNAAUNUCAGGGUAGGGGUAAAAUCCUGUC